UAUUAGGAAACACGAACAGUAAACACAUAGAUCAAAAAGAAAAUCAAAAAGGUAAAACAAACUCAGUGCUGAUAAUGACCAAGAAGAAAUAAAGUUUUAAGAAGUAUUGGAAGAGACUUUGUGGUGGAGGCUGGUUUAAUUUUGAUGCAGGGGAAAGACCUCUUGACCGAGGUAAGUUAUGAGUUGAGAAGUGAAUUAUGAGUAGACUCCAAAUGCAAAGAUCUGGGGGGAGAGGAUUCUGGUAGAAGGAACACCUCUACAAGAUCUCUAAGAUGUAAAUAAGUGGGAUUCUUCUCAGGAAUAUACGUAGGCCCAUUGAGGCUGGAGGAGGAGAGAGAGAGUAUGGGCUAAGUCAAGUGAGCAAGACCAGUUCAUUUAGCUGGUUCACUUUAGCCAGAGGUAGGCUAAAGGCAGCUCAUGCAAACUCUCAUGAGAUGAUUUUUCAACUAUUUUGUGAGCCUGUUGCUAAAUGCAAGCCUGAUAAAAAAACAAAUUGUGUAAACUUGCAAUUGAGUAAAUUUUAUUAAAAACAAACACAAUAAAUACUCAAAAAUCCAUUACAUUCUCACUAUUUUACUACAUUUUAUUACUACUUAUGCUCUUAAGGUUAUUUAUGCCCACUGAAUUUGUUUAGUAAACAUAUUACAUAGUAAUAAGCUACUGCACAUCUCUUGCCAAAUGUGUCUUUAGCGACAUCAUGUGGGUAGUUUGACAUCAGGCGCACCGUGAAUGUUUACGUCAUGGAAAUCAGCUUACACUGUGAAUCACAGUUGUUUGGCAGGUCGAUAAACUAAUUCACCAAGCCCCCACUGACUAUCACUGUAGCAAAGACACAGAAGGGUGGAAACCAGAUGCUGCAGAGGGCAGGCCCACAACUUCACUCAGGAAUUGAAGACACUUGGGGUCACAGCAAGCUCAGCCACUGGCUAAGAGAGCAGGGACAUCAAAUCCAAGUAGAGAAAGAAGGACCAUUGAGUUGCUGUCUCCAGACACCAUUGAGAAGAUCUGGGUGGAACUGGGACUCACUGCAAUAUAUUAAGUUAAAGGAGGAAAAUCUUCACCUUCCUUUGUAUGUCUUAUUCCUAAAAUAUGUUCUUGUUAUUUUACUUCAGGAUUUAUAGAAUUUUUUCAUGUGCAUUGUCUAUAAGAUACAGAGGUAAGAUACAGGUGAUUAUUCUCAUUUUGAAAAGGAGGAAAGAAACUCUGAGAAGUUCAGUGAUAUGUCCAAAAUCACAGGAGUCAUCUCAGUGCAAAUCCACUCAUUUACUCAUUUAUUCAUGCAACAUGUUUUUUGCACUUAACUCCCUAGAAAUCAGUGACAGAUUCAUCAUGGACCUAACAAAACUAAAGCUUUAGGGCCCCACAUCUACAUGGCCACCAAGGUGUUUGAAGAGACCCUAGAUGUUGGCUUAUCUGCUUAUGAACGUCAUCUAUUUUGUAAAAUUUGCCAAGGUCAUAGAGUUAAACUAAAUAAGGAGAAGUUAAGAUGUGGAUACAUUUGAUGUGAUCAUGGUGGAGUUGAUUAUGUCACUUGCAGUCACUAGAGGGGUGAGUGAUUGCUGGUUGUCUAGGUAUAAGAAAGGGCUGCAGGAGCGCAUCCACUGUCCACUGUGUGGUCCCCAGGUCUGAAGAUCUUGAUAACUCUGGAGAAUGUGUUCCCCGGCAUCUGCCUCUUCAAUCUCUGGACAAAACAGAAUUUCCUGUCAGUAAUAAACUUGAUAAUAAAGCAUAAAUAAUUUGAGCACACAGAUUUUUUUUCUUUUUCUAUUACAACUAU